rnacentral:rRNA from 1 species
GACGAACGCUGGCGGCGUGCUUAACACAUGCAAGUCGAACGGGAUUUAGUAAACGGAAGCCUCGGUGGAAGAUUACUAAUGAGAGUGGCGAACGGGUGAGUAACGCGUGAGCAACCUGCCUAUGACAGUGGGAUAGCCUCGGGAAACCGGGAUUAAUACCGCAUAAAAUCGUAGAAACACAUGUUUCAACGGUCAAAGAUUUAUCGGUCAUAGAUGGGCUCGCGGCUGAUUAGCUAGUUGGUGAGAUAACAGCCCACCAAGGCGACGAUCAGUAGCCGGUCUGAGAGGAUGAACGGCCACAUUGGAACUGAGACACGGUCCAAACUCCUACGGGAGGCAGCAGUGGGGAAUAUUGCACAAUGGGGGAAACCCUGAUGCAGCGACGCCGCGUGAACGAAGAAGGUAUUCGUAUCGUAAAGUUCUGUCCUAUGGGAAGAUAAUGACAGUACCAUAGAAGAAAGCUCCGGCUAAAUACGUG